rnacentral:lncRNA from 1 species
AACUAAGUACUAAUAAUAGUAGUAGAAAUAAUAAUAGUAAUAAUAGCAAUAAUAAUAAAAAAUUAUAAUUUGCUAAUAAUAAUAUUUAUUAUUAUUAUUAGUAUCAUUAUUAAAAAUUAUUAUUUAAUAAUAAAUUUUCAAUUAUUAUUAUUAUUAUAAAAAUUAAUUAUCAUUUAAUAUUGUUAGGUUGGGGAAGAGAGAGGGUGCGUGGGCAUGGAGAGAGAGAGAGAGAGAGAGAGAGAGAGUGUGAGUGAGUGUGUGUGUAGGGAUGUUGAUUGAUAUGGAUAACCGAAAUUUUAUUCGAAUCCGCACCUGAAUAUCGAUACUAAAUGAAUAUGGAUUCGGAUAUAGAUUUUAAUUGUA